UACGUAGGGGCCUAGCGUUGUCCGGAUUUAUUGGGCGUAAAGAGCUCGUAGGCGGUUUGGUGAGUCGGGUGUGAAAUCUCCACGCUCAACGUGGAGGGGCCACCCGAUACUGCCAUGACUAGAGUCCGGUAGGGGAGUGUGGAAUUCCCGGUGUAGCGGUGAAAUGCGCAGAUAUCGGGAGGAACACCAGUGGCGAAGGCGGCUUUCUGGUCUGCUCUUGACGCUGAGGCGCGAAAGCUAGGGUAGCAAACGGG
rnacentral:rRNA from 1 species